ensembl:misc_RNA Metazoa_SRP Metazoan signal recognition particle RNA
GCCGGGUGUGGUGGUGCAUGCCUGUAAUCCCAGAUACUUGGGAGGCCGAGGCAGGAGAAUUGCUUGAACCUGGGAGGCAGAGGUUGCAGUGCGCCGAGAUCGCGCCACUGCACUCCAGCCUGGGUGACAGAGUGAGACUCUGUCUCAA